rnacentral:lncRNA from 10 species
CAGGCCUGGCCCCGCCAGCCCUCCUCCCUCUCCCACAGGAUCGAUGCGGCCAUGCAGCCGCGGGCACCAUUUUGCUGGCCUGGCUGGAUCGAGCCUCACUCACAUUCUGCCUUCCUCCAGGGACCCCAGGACUCCCUUUGCAGGGGAACCUGCUCAGAGGAAGCCAGCCCCACACCCACCCGAGAGGGAGUCGAUGGAACAUCAGCAGCAUCCUGCAGGACCGCAAGGGGAGGGAAGGAGGGGCACUCCCACCCGACCCGAGCUCCACCUCCUCCUGGCUCGGGAAGAGGCUCUCCUGGGUGCGACACCAAAGCUGGAAGGUCUUCCUGUCCCCUCCUGGCCCCCACCUCCCUUUGUGUGUUUUGUUUCAGACACACCCUCAGCUCAGAUUUGCUUUGAAGCCUUCAGAAGAUAAUUAUUCGGAAAAGAAGUGUUGGUCUUGUGGCUUCGUUUAUUAGAGACACAGCAGCUUUCCUGGGUAAAUGAGACACCUGACUUUUGUAAAGCAAAGCUGUAUGCAAUAUUUGUCACACAAUUAUGUGCACACGUUUAGCAUACCUGCCAGGAAAAAAAAAGACUUUGGGGGCUCUAAAGCUUGCCAGGCGUAUUUAUGCAUGUUACAGGUGUCAUGCUUUUCCCAGAGUCCUUAUCUGUUUUGAAGUCAGUGGAUGCUAGAAGUGAAGUCUCUACCAUCGGCAUUUAUUGGUUGGCAUCUGAUAUGAGACAUUAUCAAUCAACUUAAAGGACACUGCAAAUACACACACACACAUACACACGAGCAUGCUCUCUCCCACACACCACUGCCUGGGACUAAACCUCAGGCUGAUGAUUCAACCUAUGGGAUGUUAUUGCUGGGAAGGAUUUUGAAAUCAUCUAGGCCAACCACUCAUGUUAAAGAUAAGGUAACUCGCUGUAGCCUAGAGAGGAGAAGGGACUCGCCUACAAUUACUCAGCAAAGGGAAGGCUAUCGGGAGAGACUUGAAACCACAGUGGCUAAACCCCAUUCCAGCAAGUACACAGCCAGGAAAAUUACAUGAUAGUAAAUGUUCUUACUGGGCUGUGCCCUCAAGGAGGGCUGUGUUGUUUUUUGCAGGGUUCCAAUCUAAGCUAUGGAUUUCUACUUUGGACAAUGUUGGUUAUACCACAAUUCUUGUUUCAUAAAAGGAGCUGAACACAUCUCAGAACUGGUUUUUAUAUAGGUUGGUUUCUAUUCCACCCAUCUCGUUCCUUGGCAGUGGGAAAACAUGGAGAUCCAACUGUCCCUGGAGAGCAGUGUUGCUGUGCCUGGAAGCUCUGGUGACUCCAAUGCCCCUGUCAGGCAGAUGGAUAGGAUUUCCUGGAGUCUGGUCCUUUUGAAGUCUGUUCUCACUUAACUCCUACAUACAUUCCCUCCUUUUUCUCCUUCUCCCUUGAUAGAUGUGAGAAAAAUUAGCAUUCUCUGUUGGUGUUUAUCCAAUAAGGCCUCACUGAGCACCUGCCAUGCACAAGCUCACCUGUGGUGGAUGGCGGACAAAUGCCAAGGAGGGCCAUGUGGGCUCGGCACAUGAAAGGCACUCGCUGGCAAAUGUCGCCACUUCCUGGGUAUCAGGGACCGCUUCUGAUUACCCACUCAUCCAUUCAUUGAUUCUUUUACUGAAUUAUCUAUAUGUCAGCAAGUGACUGUGACGUCUCUCGUACUGAAACGCAGUAUUUCAUUUGCUUAUGUCUCAAGGCCAUGCUUUAACCUUUUUAUGUGGAUUACUUAAUUAUUUUAAGAUUUUUAUAUAAGCAUCUAUUAAACUCUCAUCAUAUGGCAGAC